GUCCUCGUAGCUCAGUGGAUAGAGCGGCUGCCUCCUAAGCCGCAGGUCGCGCGUUCAAUUCGCGCCGAGGACG
rnacentral:tRNA from 1 species